rnacentral:rRNA from 1 species
CACGUAGGAGACAAACGUUAUCCGGAGUUACUGGGCGUAAAGGGCGUGUAGGCGGUUUGUUAAGUCUGGCGUGAAAGCUCUCGGCUAAACCGGGAGAGGUCGUUGGAUACUGGCAAACUAGAGGACGGUAGAGGCGUGUGGAAUUCCGGGUGUAGUGGUGAAAUGCGUAGAGAUCCGGAGGAACACCAGUGGCGAAGGCGACACGCUGGGCCGUACCUGACGCUAAAGCGCGACAGCAUGGGGAGCAAACGGG